rnacentral:rRNA from 1 species
GACGAACCGUGCGAACGUUAUUCGGAAUCACUGGGCUUAAAGCGCGUGUAGGCGGAUGAGCACGUCUGUCGCUGAAAUCCCCCGGCUCAACCGGGGAACGGGCGCGGAUACGGCUCGUCUCGAGGGGCGUAGGGGGACCUGGAACUUCCGGUGGAGCGGUGAAAUGCGUUGAGAUCGGAAGGAACGCCCGUGGCGAAAGCGAGGUCCUGGACGUUUUCUGACGCUGAGACGCGAAAGCCAGGGGAGCGAACGGG